rnacentral:rRNA from 1 species
GACGAACGCUGGCGGCGUGCCUAAUACAUGCAAGUAGGACGCAGUUGCGAACGGGUGAGUAACGCGUAGGUAACUACCUAUUAGAGGGGGAUAACUAUCGGAAACGAUAGCUAAUACCGCAUACUAGUAGAUGGACCUGCGUGGUAUUAGCUAGUAGGUAGGGUAAUGGGCUACCUAGGCAACGAUACAUAGCAGACCUGAGAGGGUGAUCGGCCACACUGAGACUGAGAAUCGGCCCAGACGCCUACGAGAGGCAGCAGUAGGGAGUCUUCGGCAAUGGGGGGGACCCUGACCGAGCAACGGCGCGGGAGUGAAGAAGAUUUUCAGGACGUAAAGCUCUGUUGUUAAGGAAACGGUACUUAACCAGAAAGGGACGGCUAACUACGUGCCAGCAGCCGCGGUAAUUC